GACGAACGCUGGCGGCGUGCUUAACACAUGCAAGUCGAACGGAAAGGCCCUGCUUUUGUGGGGUGCUCGAGUGGCGAACGGGUGAGUAACACGUGAGUAACCUGCCCUUGACUUUGGGAUAACUUCAGGAAACUGGGGCUAAUACCGGAUAGGAGCUCCUGCUGCAUGGUGGGGGUUGGAAAGUUUCGGCGGUUGGGGAUGGACUCGCGGCUUAUCAGCUUGUUGGUGGGGUAGUGGCUUACCAAGGCUUUGACGGGUAGCCGGCCUGAGAGGGUGACCGGGCAAAUGGGGACUGAGAUACGGCCCAGACGCCUACGGGAGGCAGCAGUGGGGAAUAUUGCGCAAUGGGCGGAAGCAUGAGGCAGCAACGCCGCGGGCGGGAUGACGGCCUUCGGGUUGUAAACCGCUUUCGCCUGUGACGAAGCGUGAGUGACGGUAAUGGGUAAAGAAGCACCGGCUAACUACGUG
rnacentral:rRNA from 1 species